AAAAUAUAGUAAGCAUUAUCAAUCUCUUGGCAACCAUGAAGGCCAUUCUCAUUGCUUUUUUACUCUUUGCUUCUCUUUUCUUCUUUCCCACUUCAACUAUGGCUCGACAACUCAAGGAAGGUUCAUUUCAGACAGGAGACCCUACUAAGCCUGCUGUUAAGUGUUCUCCCGGUCAGGGUUAUAGAAAUUGCAUUCCAUCGAGAGCACCAACGCCACCAACAUCUCCAGCACCACCAUGCUCACCCUAUUCACGUCAUUGUUGAUCAAUAUCUAAAAGAUGCAAUAGCCGAAUGAAUUAAGUAUACUUUUACUUUCUGCUGAUGCCAUUAGCACUUGCUGUGUUAAACCAUGGAGCUACCAUCUCUGUCUUUUGCUUUAGAAUUUCCAGUGCUUUCACCCAAUAAUGAGUGUUUUCCGAGUUUGUUGAGAAAUAAAUGUUUGGCCUCUAGGCCAAUCCAAUAAAUAAGAACUUGAC